UAGUUGGUGAGGUAAUGGCUCACCAAGGCUAUGAUCGUUAGCUGGUCUGAGAGGAUGGCCAGCCACACUGGAACUGAGACACGGUCCAGACUCCUACGGGAGGCAGCAGUGGGGAAUCUUGCACAAUGGGCGAAAGCCUGAUGCAGCGACGCCGCGUGGGGGAUGAAGCUUCUCGGAGUGUAAACCCCUUUCGACCCGGACGAAUACCUCGCAAGAGGGGUGACGGUACGGGUAUAAGAAGCCCCGGCUAACUACGUGCCAGCAGCCGCGGUAAGACGUAGGGGGCCAGCGUUGUUCGGAAUUACUGGGUGUAAAGGGUUCGUAGGCGGUGUGGCAAGUCGGGAGUGAAAUCUCUGGGCUCAACUCAGAGACUGCUUCCGAAACUGCUGUGCUUGAGUGUGGGAGAGGCGCGUGGAAUUGCAGGUGUAGCGGUGAAAUGCGUAGAUAUCUGCAGGAACACCCGUGGCGAAAGCGGCGCGCUGGACCACUACUGACGCUGAGGAACGAAAGCUAGGGGAGCAAACAGGAUUAGAUACCCUGGUAGUCCUAGCCCUAAACGAUCAGGACUUGGGGUGCCACCCGUUCGGGUGUCGUCCCGGAGCUAACGCGUUAAGUCCUGCACCUGGGGAGUACGGUCGCAAGACUGAAACUCAAAGGAAUUGACG
rnacentral:rRNA from 1 species